GACUGUGGCUCUGUGGCAGAGCAUCUGCUUGGCAUGCGGAAGGUCGCAGGUUCUAACCCUGUCAUCGUCA
rnacentral:tRNA from 1 species